rnacentral:rRNA from 1 species
GGAGGGUGCAAGCGUUAUCCGGAUUCACUGGGUUUAAAGGGAGCGCAGGCGGAUUGGUAAGUCAGUGGUGAAAGGCUUAAGCUUAACUUGGGAACUGCCAUUGAUACUAUUAGUCUUGAAUGUCGUUGAGGUUUGCGGAAUGGGUCAUGUAGCGGUGAAAUGCAUAGAUAUGACCCGGAACACCUAUUGCGAAGGCAGCAGGCUAAACAAACAUUGACACUGAGGCACGAAAGCGUGGGGAUCAAACAGGAUUAGAUACCCUGGUAGUCCACGCCCUAAACGAUGGUUACUCGACAUMAGCGAUACACUGUWUGUGUCUGAGCGAAAGCAUUAAGUAUCCCACCUGGGAAGUACGACCGCAAGUUG